rnacentral:lncRNA from 1 species
GGUCAGGGUGGGGGUCCCAGCCCCAUAGAUCUUGCUGUGGGUCGGGAUGUGGGUCCCAGCCCCAUAGAUCUCUCUGUGGGUCCCUCUGUGGGUCAGGGUGUGGCUCCCAGCCCCAUAGGUCCCUCUGUGGGUUUCUGUGGGUCCCUCUGUGGGUCAGGGUGUGGGUCUCAGCCCCAUAGAUCUCUUUGUGGGUCGCUGUGGGUCUCUCUGUGGGUCUCUUUGUGGGUCACUGUGGGUCAGGGUGUGGGUCCCAGCCCCAUAGAUCUCACUGUGGGUCCCUCUGUGGGUCAGGGUGUGGGUCCCAGCCCCAUAGAUCUCUCUGUUGGUCAGGGUGUGGGUCAGGGUGUGGGUCCCAGCCCCAUAGAUCUCUCUGUGGGUCCCUCUGUGGGUCAGGGUGUGGGUCUCAGCCCCAUAGAUCUCUUUGUGGGUCGCUGUGGGUCUCUCUGUGGGUCUCUUUGUGGGUCACUGUGGGUCAGGGUGUGGGUCCCAGCCCCAUAGAUCUCACUGUGGGUCCCUCUGUGGGUCAGGGUGUGGGUCCCAGCCCCAUAGAUCUCUCUGUUGGUCAGGGUGUGGGUCAGGGUGUGGGUCCCAGCCCCAUAGAUCUCUCUGUGGGUCCCACCAUGGGUUUCUAUGGGUCCCUGUGGGUCUCUGUGGGUCUCUAUGGGUCCCUAUGGGUCGCUGUGGGUCUCUGUGGGUCUCUGUGGGUCUCCAUGGGUCUCUAUGGGUCUCUAUGGGUCUCUAUGGGUCCCUAUGGGUCCCUAUGGGUCUCUGUGGGUCUCUAUGGGUCCCCGUGGGUCCCUGUGGGGUUUCUAUGGGUCCCAGCCCCACACGUCCCCCCAGGCCGCAGCUGCUGGUGCUGGUGGGUCCCUAUGGGUCCCUAUGGGUCCCUAUGGGUCUCUAUGGGUCCCUAUGGGUCCCUAUGGGUCUCUAUGGGUCUCCAUAGGUCUCUAUGGGCUUCUAGGGGUCCCUAUGGGUCUCUAGGGGGUUCCUAUGGGUCCCGGUGGGUUUCUANNNNNNNNNNNNNNNNNNNNNNNNNNNNNNNNNNNNNNNNNNNNNN